GACGAACGCUGGCGGCGUGCUUAACACAUGCAAGUCGAACGGUGAAGCGCCUUCCUUUUUGGUGGGUGUGGAUGAGCGGCGAACGGGUGAGUAACACGUGAAUAACCUGCCCCCUUCUUCUGGAUAACCGCAUGAAAGUGUGGCUAAUACGGGAUAUUCUGGGUCUGUCGCAUGAUGGGUCUGGGAAAGAUAUUGUUUCGGUGGGGGAUGGGCUCGCGGCCUAUCAGCUUGUUGGUGGGGUGAUGGCCUACCAAGGCGGUGACGGGUAGCCGGCCUGAGAGGGUGGACGGUCACACUGGGACUGAGACACGGCCCAGACUCCUACGGGAGGCAGCAGUGGGGAAUAUUGCACAAUGGGCGCAAGCCUGAUGCAGCGACGCCGCGUGAGGGAUGGAGGCCUUCGGGUUGUGAACCUCUUUCGCCAGUGAAGCAGGCCUGCCUCGUUUGUGGGUGGGUUGACGGUAGCUGGAUAAGAAGCGCCGGCUAACUACGUG
rnacentral:rRNA from 1 species